rnacentral:rRNA from 1 species
GGUGGCGAGUGGCGGACGGGUGAGUAAUGCAUCGGGACCUGCCCAGACGUGGGGGAUAACGUAGGGAAACUUACGCUAAUACCGCAUACGUCCUACGGGAGAAAGCGGGGGAUCGAAAGACCUCGCGCGGUUGGAUGGACCGAUGUUCGAUUAGCUAGUUGGUGAGGUAAUCGCUCACCAAGGCGACGAUCGAUAGCUGGUCUGAGAGGAUGAUCAGCCACACUGGGACUGAGACACGGCCCAGACUCCUACGGGAGGCAGCAGUGGGGAAUAUUGGACAAUGGGCGAAAGCCUGAUCCAGCAAUGCCGCGUGUGUGAAGAAGGCCUUCGGGUUGUAAAGCACUUUUAUCAGGAGCGAAAUACUGCCGGCUAAUACCCGGCGGGGCUGACGGUACCUGAGGAAUAAGCACCGGCUAACUUCGUGCCAGCAGCCGCGGUAAUACGAAGGGUGCAAGCGUUAAUCGGAAUUACUGGGCGUAAAGCGUGCGUAGGCGGUUAUUUAAGUCUGCUGUGAAAUCCCCGGGCUCAACCUGGGAAUGGCAGUGGAUACUGGAUAGCUAGAGUGUGAUAGAGGAUGGUGGAAUUCCCGGUGUAGCGGUGAAAUGCGUAGAGAUCGGGAGGAACAUCAGUGGCGAAGGCGGCCAUCUGGAUCAACACUGACGCUGAGGCACGAAAGCGUGGGGAGCAAACAGGAUUAGAUACCCCUGGUAGUCCACGCCCUAAACGAUGCGAACUGGAUGUUGGUCUCAACUCGGAGAUCAGUGUCGAAGCUAACGCGUUAAGUUCGCCGCCUGGGGGAGUACGGUCGCAAGACUGAAACUCAAAGAAAUGAACGGGGGCCCCGCACAAAGCG